CAGCCACUGGAUGCAGGGCCUUCUUAGUGGUGGUCUCAAGCAGAGAUAAAAUGGGAGAAUUUGUUACAUUAAACAGGAUGAAAGGCUAAAUCAAAGACAAGAAAAAGAAAUAUAACCUUUAAAAUAUUUAUAAUUAGUUUUUACCCCAAACCUGACUAUUUAUUGUUUACUGCCUUAUAGACACCAUGGAAGAAGGAAAGACCCUAAAAGGACUGUUAGUGCUAAGCCCAACAAUUGUGAAAGCACCUUGUCAGGAACAACAAGCUUCUCAAAACCGCGCUUUCCAUCUCCAAAGAAUAAACAAAAAGCCUACAACAAAUCUUUGAAUGAAGAUUUUGGAUGUUCAGCUGAUGAUGUUGAUGAUGAUGAUAAUGACUACAUCAAUGUGGGUGAUGCCAGUACAUAUGGAAAUAUCUGAUGACAGAAAUUCAUCUCUUUUUCUAUAUGUUCUUUUUACACUUCAGGUGUAUUUCUGUUUUAAAAUGAUAGCUUCAACAAAAUCUGUUUAUUGAUUUAUUGCUCAUUUGUUGGCAAGUAUACUAUGAUAUUGUACAUAUUGAAAGGUCUGCUGUACAGGAUCUUUGCUUCAAUUUUAACUGACUAGUGAUUCAUUAAAUGAUGUUUAUACCCAUAUACAUAUUUUCCAAAAAACACAUCUACUGUAAGCAUCAACUAAUUUUUUUUAUGUUUAUAGAAAAAUAUCUAUUUUUAUACCUGCUUAUACCUGCCCUAUUUGUUUAAGAAGGAUAACAAAAUAAAAUGGAAUA